rnacentral:rRNA from 1 species
CCCAGUGGUAGUCUUAACGGCCGCAGUUGGUAACUGUGCUAAGGUAGCGUAAUAAGUUGUCCUUUAAAUGAGGAAAAGAAUGAAUGGUUUGACGUGAGAAUCUCUGUCUCCAUUAGAUUAAAAGAAGUUUUCUUCUUAGUGAAAAGUCUAAGGUUAAAUUAAAAGACGAGAAGACCCUUUUGAGCUUGACUUACCCCUCUUCAAGAAGAGGGGGAAAAUUUGGUUGGGGCAACUAAGGAGCAAGGUGAGCCUCCUUUAGAAUUGAAUAAUGAUCCAAAAUUUUUGAAGAAAGAAAAAGCUACCAUAGGGAUAACAGCGUUAUCUUUUCUGAGAGAACAAAUUGAAGAAAAG